CACUAAGCAAGACCAGGGAUCAAACUUGCAACCUCAUGGUUCCUAGUCAGAUUCGUUAACCACUGCGCCACGGCGGGAACUCCUGGCAUGUCCAUUUUAGAGAUAAGGAAUGAGUAUCAGAGAGAUCAAGUCACUUGUCCAGGGUCACACACCUUUGCUCAAAGCCAAAAACUGAAGCAGUGCUAUUGGACUGCUCAAUACACAAUCCCCAGAACUGUGUACUCAAUACACAGGACUGUGUUCAUGGACACUGGAAAGUGUGUCUGCAGACUUAGGGAUGACAGUCAGAUAAGGAUAAGAAAGGAUAAUGUGGUGUAUAUAUAGGAAAGGUAUUUGGUCUUUUUCCCUGGUUCCUGGUUCAGAGUUCCUAAAUCCCUUGGAAUUUCCAAAGUGGUAGGGGUGUCUUUUGUUAUUCUUAAUAAGCCUUAUUUGAUCAUACCUCCAUUUAUGCUAAUGAGGUGGCUUGGAGCCUCAAAGAGCAGUCAGAUGGUUGGUGCUUUUAACCAUUGACUUCUGGGUAGUUACACAAUUCAGUUUCAUUAGCUACUAUUUUUAUGUCUCUCUAUUCAAAUGAGAAAUGGCCCUAUAAUUGUCCUUUCUUCUAUGAUCCUUAUAUGGUUCAGGAAUCAGGAUUAUUCUAGCCUCAAAAAUGACAUCAGCUUUUACUUGUUUUCUGGAACAACUUGUACAAGAUAGGGAUUUUCUGUAUGCUGAAAUUUGUACUACUUUUUAAAAUGUCAAUGUAUAUAUAAUCAUUUCUUUCUUUUGCUUCAUGUUUUAUUUGCUUCUAAUACCUUUUCUUUUUUUUCCCCCCAAGAAACCACUUUUUGUUUAUCUUCUGGUAGAUCUUGUUUUUCUGGCUGUACCCAUCCUCCAGUUCUGGGUGUCAGCUGCUACAACUCACAGUUGCCCCUUCUUGGUUUCCUGGAGAUAAACACCCUCCCGGAGGUAGUCUCAGCCAGUGGCUGAGGGACAUGAGAGCACCAUGAAGCCUAAGAGAGUCCCACGUGGGACCCUAUAGUGCCAUUCAAGCCCCAGACCUCCCUGUGGAAUCAGGCUAAGGCUUACUACAUCCUUGCUUAGUCCUGUCCUGCCUGCUUCCAUCACUUAUUCCCCUCAGAGCACUCCUCUUCCCACACCAUCAAAGACUGAAUGGAUCUGAAUCAUCUUCUCCAGCUCAGCUUCUAGGACAAGGAUGAGCAAAAGCAUGUGGAAGUUCCUGGGCCACGGAUGGAAUCUAAGCCACAGCUGUGACCUACUCCACAGCUGCAGAAGCACCAGAUCCUUAACCUACUCCACCCAGCAGGGGAUCAUCGAAUCAGCAACACCACAGAGACAAGCUGGAUCAUUAACCCACUGUGCAACAGGAAGUCCUGAACUGUACUCUUUCAAAUGACUAAAAUGGUGCAGCCCUAAAAAGAAAAGAAAAAAAGAGAGAGAGAGAAGAGGAAAAAAAUAGAAAAGAAAAUGAUGGCAUCAGUGGAGAGUCUCUGGGUCCGUGGAACCAGCCUCCUUGGCCUCAUUCAGCCCAGUGUUCUGACAGGAAAUGAAUGCAUUGUUUUGAAGGCUGUUUGUUGCCCCAUUGUUUCUCGGGCCCAGGCCUGUGUGGGACUGUUUGUACUCCUGCACACACAGCAGCCAUUAUGUCCCCUGCAACACCCUUCACACAGCUGUGAACGCUUGUGCCCGAGCCAGCGGGCCUGCCGCAGAAUUCAUUCGAAUGGAAUUGCCAACAGGGCCCUGCUUCUCUGUGGGAACGUCCUGGGCGCUCCCACAUUUCUCCUCCCACUUGGCCAAGAAAAACAAGCAAACAGAGGCCUGCUCUGAUGUACAUACCGCCCGGCUCUUCAGAGGUGAGGCGUUGGAGGUAACAAUGUCCAGUCUCCACGUGGACUCUCCAUUCACAACUUUCUGGCCCAGAGCAGGAAUGCCGGUUGCUGCAUGUGGCUUUUCCCCAAGGGGGCUGUGGAGGGCUGUCCAGCCUGGUCAUUGACACCAUGAGAGCUGUGAGAUCAACCUGCAACGCGACUCUAUAAAAACUCUGGUUCUUUCAGGUUUCCUUUGGCCCAUCGACCAGAGGACACACGUUGAAGUCGUCAGAAUGAGAAAUACUGGUUCCCAGGCUAGACAUGGGCGUCGGAAGGCUGGGGCCUCGAGCUCACAGACAGGCACUUAUUCGAGGCUCAGCGACUGCAGUCACCUUCUCUGUGGGUUUAGGUGUGACAGCAGGCUGGCCCUCACCUUCAGGCUGGGGUUGACAAGGGCAGCCCUACAGACCUGGGUCAUUUCCUCUUAGGCACAGUGCCUACAAUUUCGGCUGAUAAAGUGAACCAACCAUCUGGUCUGUGCUUAGGACUGCAGUGCUGAUCCUCAGAACAUUCAGCACAAGGAGCCAAAGAUGAAGAAACCAGAGCUUAUAAAGCUGUGAGAAGUGUACCCGGGUAAAAUUGGAUCUUGGAUCUGACAGACUGCAUCCUGGGCGCUUUCUCACACAGGGCAACCCUCCCAAGGGGAGGGGAGUCAAGGUGAGUGUAUCUUCAGCUCUGUUCGGGGCGCGGGCCUCUGGCUUCUGUGGGCAGGUCUCUCCCCACCUGCUGGCCGCUCGCCUCCCCGCAGCCGUGGGCAAGGGUUCAGUGCUACGGAGAAGCCACAGCAAAGACUCUUAUUUCUCACAGAAGCUUCCCAUCCAAAUCUGGAGGUAGUCAUGGCCUUCCAAACAUACUGCAUCUAUUUAUAGAAAAAAGAAUCAGAUAAGGAAGGGGAUUUCCUGAAGAGAAGGAAAAAGGAAAUCUAGGGGGGUCACAUGGGCACAUGAGGAAUCCCCUUAACCCACUCUCCGCAUGUGUGGAAUCCUGGCUGCAUCAGGCAAAUGCCAACUUUCGCCUUGGAGGUGUUGACAACAAUUGAUACAGAAAAGGCCCGAGGUGGGUCAUCAAACAGGAGUCUCUUUAUGUCAUUUGAGGCUUGCUUGCUAAGGAAUUAGCACCACAUCUUGCCUUUGAUCAACAGCAGAGACUCCAAACCAUUAGGUUCUGUUUUUCCUCUAAUGAGUUUCUUUAAAACCCAAGAAACAAUCUCAGCAUUCUGUUAUUUGAAAUAACAACUGCAGUAAUCAUAGCAAUUUAAGUACAAUUAUAUGGUACCUAAAAUGUGAGACAUUAUUUUAAUUUUAUUCUUGUAAUUACCUAUGAGCUGGUUACUAUUGUAUCCCCAUUUCACAGGUGAGGAAAUUGAGGCAUGAGAGAUUAAAUAUCUUGCCCAAGUCGCAGGGCUAAUGAGUGGCAGAGCCAGGACUCAAACCUAGGCAGUUUGGCCCCCGUGUGGGCACAUAACAAUUCUAGGAGAGAUAUACCACAGUUGUCCCUUGGUAUCCAUGGAAACUGGUUUCAGGACACAACCAUCCCCCACUGCCAUCCCCCUCACUUCAGAAACCAAAAUUCAUAGAUGUUCAAAUCCCUCAUAAAAAAUGGCUUAGUAUUUGCGUCUAACCUACACACAUCCUCCCAUAUACUUUAAAUCAUCUCUAGGUUACUUGUCAGACCUAAUACAAUGUAAAUAGUUGUAAAUACAAUGUAAAUGCUAUGUAAAUAGUUGACAGUGUGCAGCAAAUAUUUGCUUUUUGGAAUUUUUUUGCCAAAUAUUUUUGACCUGAGAUUGGUUUAAUCCAUGAAUGCAGGACCUGUAGAUACAGAGGGGUUGAUUGUUCUCUGAAUUUGAAGGAUAUUCAUUAUAAAAAGAAAAUCAAAUGCAUCAUCAUAAAUACAGCACAGCUGUGGUGGCAUCAAGCUGCGAGCAUCUUUCUUCUUGCCUUUGCUGAAAUUGUGGGGCGGGGGAGGAAUUUAGUGGCCUUAAGAUGAAGUAACAUCUGGUCCCUUGAGUGAACUGCUCUCAUAAUCUCUAUAUUUAGGUCAGAUCUGUAGACUGGCACACAAAAUGACUCCUGGUUCCACAUUCAUCGUUCAGUCCAAGUAUGUGAGACAGUAGAUCCUUAAUUGUUGGCAACCAAGGAAGGGUUAAUGAAGACAGCAAUAGAUAAGACUUUAGGUAAGAGGAAAAGGCUGAAUUAACUGCUGUCAUCUAUAUCACUUGAUGCCUGGAGGCAAGGAGUUGCUAAAGAAGAAAGAAACAGUAUAUUCCUAAUUUCUUUGUUCUGUUCAGAAACAUUUUCCCAGUGAAUCCUUCCACAGCAAACUGUGGCCACUUUUGCUUUGAAGACUCACUCUAAGAGCGCUUUAGGAGUUCCUGCUGUGUCGCAACAGUAUCAGCAGUGUCUUAGGAGCUCUGGGACUCACGUUUAAUCCACGGCCCCGUGCAAUGGGUUAAGGAUCUGGUGUUGCCACAGCUGCGUCUGAGGUCACUACUCCAGCUCGGAUCUGAUCCCUGGCCCGGGAACUCCAUAUGCCACAGGGCAGCCAAAACAGAAAAAGAAAAAAAAAAAGCUCUUUAGGUUUCUGGUGAAAUAUGGCGGGUUUAACACAAAC